GUGGAAUUAAGCGAAUGCAACCUGGUUUCCAACCUGAUAGUGAGGUGAAGAAGCCCAGUUUGUAUUUUUUAAGAAAAAACAUCUCAUCAGAACUUAACAAAAG